rnacentral:rRNA from 1 species
GGAGAGUGCAAGCGUUAAUCGGAAUUACUGGGCGUAAAGCGCGCGUAGGUGGAUACUUAAGUCGGAUGUGAAAGCCCUGGGCUUAACCUGGGAACUGCACUCGAUACUGGGUAUCUAGAGUAUGGUAGAGGGAAGUGGAAUUUCCGGUGUAGCGGUGAAAUGCGUAGAUAUCGGAAAGAACACCAGUGGCGAAGGCGGCUUCCUGGACCAAUACUGACACUGAGGUGCGAAAGCGUGGGGAGCAAACAGGAUUAGAGACCCUGGUAGUCCACGCCGUCAACGAUGAGAACUAGCUGUUGGGAGGGUUUUUCCUCUUAGUAGCGAAGCUAACGCGUUAAGUUCUCCGCCUGGGGAGUACGCCGCAAGGUU